UUAAGCGACUAAGCGUACACGGUGGAUGCCCUGGCAGUCAGAGGCGAUGAAGGACGUGCUAAUCUGCGAAAAGCGUCGGUAAGGUGAUAUGAACCGUUAUAACCGGCGAUGUCCGAAUGGGGAAACCCAGUGCAAUUCGUUGCACUAUCGUUAACUGAAUACAUAGGUUAACGAGGCGAACCGGGGGAACUGAAACAUCUAAGUACCCCGAGGAAAAGAAAUCAACCGAGAUUCCCCCAGUAGCGGCGAGCGAACGGGGAGCAGCCCAGAGUCUGAAUCAGCUUGUGUGUUAGUGGAACGGUCUGGAAAGUCCGACGGUACAGGGUGAUAGUCCCGUACACCAAAAUGCACAGGUUGUGAACUCGAAGAGUAGGGCGGGACACGUGGUAUCCUGUCUGAAUAUGGGGGGACCAUCCUCCAAGGCUAAAUACUCCUGACUGACCGAUAGUGAACCAGUACCGUGAGGGAAAGGCGAAAAGAACCCCGGCGAGGGGAGUGAAAAAGAACCUGAAACCGUGUACGUACAAGCAGUGGGAGCACCUUCGGGUGUGACUGCGUACCUUUUGUAUAAUGGGUCAGCGACUUAUAUUCUGUAGCAAGGUUAACCGUAUAGGGGAGCCGCAGGGAAACCGAGUCUUAACUGGGCGUUAAGUUGCAGGGUAUAGACCCGAAACCCGGUGAUCUAGCCAUGGGCAGGUUGAAGGUUGGGUAACACUAACUGGAGGACCGAACCGACUAAUGUUGAAAAAUUAGCGGAUGACUUGUGGCUGGGGGUGAAAGGCCAAUCAAACCGGGAGAUAGCUGGUUCUCCCCGAAAGCUAUUUAGGUAGCGCCUCGUGAAUUCAUCUUCGGGGGUAGAGCACUGUUUCGGCUAGGGGGUCAUCCCGACUUACCAACCCGAUGCAAACUACGAAUACCGAAGAAUGUUAUCACGGGAGACACACGGCGGGUGCUAACGUCCGUCGUGAAGAGGGAAACAACCCAGACCGCCAGCUAAGGUCCCAAAGUCAUGGUUAAGUGGGAAACGAUGUGGGAAGGCACAGACAGCCAGGAUGUUGGCUUAGAAGCAGCCAUCAUUUAAAGAAAGCGUAAUAGCUCACUGGUCGAGUCGGCCUGCGCGGAAGAUGUAACGGGGCUAAACCAUGCACCGAAGCUGCGGCAGCGACACUAUGUGUUGUUGGGUAGGGGAGCGUUCUGUAAGCCUGCGAAGGUGUGCUGUGAGGCAUGCUGGAGGUAUCAGAAGUGCGAAUGCUGACAUAAGUAACGAUAAAGCGGGUGAAAAGCCCGCUCGCCGGAAGACCAAGGGUUCCUGUCCAACGUUAAUCGGGGCAGGGUGAGUCGACCCCUAAGGCGAGGCCGAAAGGCGUAGUCGAUGGGAAACAGGUUAAUAUUCCUGUACUUGGUGUUACUGCGAAGGGGGGACGGAGAAGGCUAUGUUAGCCGGGCGACGGUUGUCCCGGUUUAAGCAUGUAGGCUGAUUAUCCAGGCAAAUCCGGAUAAUCAAGGCUGAGGUGUGAUGACGAGGCACUACGGUGCUGAAGUAACAAAUGCCCUGCUUCCAGGAAAAGCCUCUAAGCAUCAGGUAACAUCAAAUCGUACCCCAAACCGACACAGGUGGUCAGGUAGAGAAUACCAAGGCGCUUGAGAGAACUCGGGUGAAGGAACUAGGCAAAAUGGUGCCGUAACUUCGGGAGAAGGCACGCUGGUGUGUAGGUGAAGCCCCUGCGGGUGGAGCUGAGACCAGUCGAAGAUACCAGCUGGCUGCAACUGUUUAUUAAAAACACAGCACUGUGCAAACACGAAAGUGGACGUAUACGGUGUGACGCCUGCCCGGUGCCGGAAGGUUAAUUGAUGGGGUUAUCCGUAAGGAGAAGCUCUUGAUCGAAGCCCCGGUAAACGGCGGCCGUAACUAUAACGGUCCUAAGGUAGCGAAAUUCCUUGUCGGGUAAGUUCCGACCUGCACGAAUGGCGUAAUGAUGGCCAGGCUGUCUCCACCCGAGACUCAGUGAAAUUGAACUCGCUGUGAAGAUGCAGUGUACCCGCGGCAAGACGGAAAGACCCCGUGAACCUUUACUAUAGCUUGACACUGAACAUUGAGCCUUGAUGUGUAGGAUAGGUGGGAGGCUUUGAAGCGUGGACGCCAGUCUGCGUGGAGCCAACCUUGAAAUACCACCCUUUAAUGUUUGAUGUUCUAACGUUGGCCCCUUACCGGGGUUGCGGACAGUGUCUGGUGGGUAGUUUGACUGGGGCGGUCUCCUCCCAAAGCGUAACGGAGGAGCACGAAGGUUAGCUAAUCCUGGUCGGACAUCAGGAGGUUAGUGCAAUGGCAUAAGCUAGCUUGACUGCGAGCGUGACGGCGCGAGCAGGUGCGAAAGCAGGUCAUAGUGAUCCGGUGGUUCUGAAUGGAAGGGCCAUCGCUCAACGGAUAAAAGGUACUCCGGGGAUAACAGGCUGAUACCGCCCAAGAGUUCAUAUCGACGGCGGUGUUUGGCACCUCGAUGUCGGCUCAUCACAUCCUGGGGCUGAAGUAGGUCCCAAGGGUAUGGCUGUUCGCCAUUUAAAGUGGUACGCGAGCUGGGUUUAGAACGUCGUGAGACAGUUCGGUCCCUAUCUGCCGUGGGCGCUGGAGAAUUGAGGGGGGCUGCUCCUAGUACGAGAGGACCGGAGUGGACGCAUCACUGGUGUUCGGGUUGUCAUGCCAAUGGCACUGCCCGGUAGCUAAAUGCGGAAGAGAUAAGUGCUGAAAGCAUCUAAGCACGAAACUUGCCCCGAGAUGAGUUCUCCCUGAGACUUUAAGUCUCCUGAAGGAACGUUGAAGACGACGACGUUGAUAGGCCGGGUGUGUAAGCGCAGCGAUGCGUUGAGCUAACCGGUACUAAUGAACCGUGAGGCUUAACCUU
rnacentral:rRNA from 1 species